UAAAACGUAGGAGGCGAGCGUUAUCCGGAAUUACUGGGCGUAAAGCGUUCGUAGGCGGUUUGGUAAGUCGGAGGUGAAAGCCCCGGGCUCAACCCGGGAACGGCCUUCGAUACUAUCAGACUGGAGCACAUCAGAGGGUGACGGAAUUCCCGGUGUAGCGGUAAAAUGCUUAGAUAUCGGGAGGAACACCAGUGGCGAAGGCGGUCACCUGGGGUGUGGCUGACGCUGAGGAACGAGAGCCAGGGGAGCGAACGGGAUUAGAUACCCCGGUAGUCCUGGCUGUAAACGAUGGGCACUAAGUGUGGGGAGAUUCGACCCUCUCCGCGCCGCAGCUAACGCAUUAAGUGCCCCGCCUGGGGAGUACGACCGCAAGGUUA
rnacentral:rRNA from 1 species